GGAGAUAUAGCUCAGUGGUAGAGCAUUUGCCUACUAUGCAAGUGGCUCUGGGUUCAAUCCUCAGGACUACUA
rnacentral:tRNA from 1 species